AUGGGAGAGCCGAGGCAUCACUGCAAGCUAUGGCUCCUCCUGCUGGCAUUGGCCCCGUGGCUGCACGCAUCGACGGGCGCGGCGACGACGUUCACCAUAGCGAACUACUGCGCCUACACGAUAUGGCCGGGCACGCUGGCCGGCUCCGGCACGCCGCAGCUGUCCACGACGGGGUUCGAACUCGGGCCGGGGCAGACGGUGCGGCUCGCGGCGCCGCCGGCGUGGUCCGGGCGGAUGUGGGCGCGGACCGGGUGCGUGUUCGACGCGGCCGGCGCCGGGGUGUGCCAGACGGGCGACUGCGGCGGGCGCAUGGAGUGCCGCGGCGCCGGCGCCACGCCCCCGGCCACGCUCUUCGAGGUCACGCUGGGGAAGGGCGGCGGCGAGGACUUCUACGACGUGAGCCUCGUCGACGGGUACAACCUCCCCGUCGUCGCCAUCCCCCGCGCGCUGCGCGGGCCCGGCGCGUGCAACGCCACCGGCUGCUUGGCCGACCUCAACCGCUGUAAGUACUCCAGUGAACAUCUCAUGCCAGCCUUGCCGUUGCGCGCCAUUGCCGGCUCUGAUGAUCAUGGCGUAUGGAUGGAUGGAGCAGCGUGCCCGACGGAGCUGCAGGUGGUCUACGGCGCCGGCGCGAUCGCGUGCCGGAGCGCGUGCGAGGCGUUCGGGCAGGACAGGUACUGCUGCAGCGGCGCCUACGGCACGCCGGCCGCGUGCCGGCCGACGUCGUACUCGUCCGUCUUCAAGAUGGCGUGCCCGCGCGCCUACAGCUACGCCUACGACGACAGCACCAGCACCUUCACCUGCAGCGCCGACGACUACACCGUCGCCUUCUGCCUCCCCACCUCCGGGAUAAAGGAGUCGGACGCCGUGUUCCUGGGCGCGCAGAUCAUCGGCGGCCGCGGCACAGGUGCUGCCGAAGCCAACGAUAUCGCGCCGCCGGCGUACGGCAACGGUGGCGCGGGCGCUUACCCACCGCCGACCUCCGACAGCUACAGCGGUGGUGGACCCGGAGGCGCUUACCUGCCGCCGGUUUACAACUACGGGCCUGGCGGCGAUCGCAUACCGCCGGCGAUGAGGAUCUCGUCGGCGAGCACGACGACGUACAUCCGGCCGUGGCUUCCGCUGCUGCUGCUGCUCCUCUGCUUUACCUGA
rnacentral:rRNA from 1 species